rnacentral:rRNA from 1 species
UACAGAGGGGGGCAAGCGUUGUUCGGAAUUACUGGGCGUAAAGGGCGCGUAGGCGGCCUGCUAAGUCGAACGUGAAAUCCCUGGGCUCAACCCAGGAACUGCGUCCGAUACUGGUUGGCUUGAAUCCGGGAGAGGGAUGCGGAAUUCCAGGUGUAGCGGUGAAAUGACGUAGAUAUCUGGAGGAACACCGGUGGCGAAGGCGGCAUCCUGGACCGGCAUUGACGCUGAGGCGCGAAAGCCAGGGGAGCAAACGGG